AUAUAUAUAUAUAUAUAAUGAUUUUAUGCGUUAUCCAUUGUAAUUAUAAUUUUCUUAUAUAAUGCCUGGAUAUUACCUGUUGCACAGGAAUUACAUAUCUGUGAUAUGUUCGGUUUGUUGAGAUCCUAAGAAACAUUAAUUAUUAAUAUUUCAUAAAUGUUGCAAGAUUUUAUUUUUUAACUGAAUCAUAAAUAUUUGUCACUCUGGAUGUAAUAAUUGGCUUCUAAAAUCUUUUCCCCUUUAUAAAUGUAUCUAUAAUAUUGAGUUAUUUACCUACUGAAAACAAAUAAACAAGUUUUCAGUCAAUUAUUGUUAAGAUAUUGCAGUGCUAUUAAAAAUAUAUGUCGAAAGAAUAGUUCUUUUUUUGUUUUAUGUUUGACCUUAUAGAAUUCUAAUUAUAAUCUGCUUUUUGUGUGCAACUUCAACAACUUCCUUUGCAUGCUGAAAUGCUUUAUAUACACAAACGAGGUAUCGAUGAAUAAAGUUUUAUUUAUUCUCUAUGAAGGAAGCUAAAUGAUGAUUUUUAAUCUGACAAAAUAAAAUUGCGGAUAUAUACUAUGUAGAAAAUAAUGCGAGCGAAAAAAAGCGGAUGAAAAUUAAAGAGAGAGAGAGAGAGAGAGAGAGAGAGAGAGAAAAUGUUUAAUGUAACACAAUUUUUGAGUAUGCAUGUUCUCAUCUUAUGCAACUAUAAAGCCAAACUUAAUACAUAUGUAUCGAAUAUAAGAAUGAGAGUGAUAACUUUGGUGUACGAUCGUGUAUGGUUGUUGUUAUUGUUAUUGUUGUUGUUUCAGGGAAAGUGAUAUCGCCCUUCACGGAUAAUAAGCUUUAUGUAAUACACGUGCCUGCGAUAGCUAUAAUAAAGAUCUGACAUUCCAAGCAGGACGUUACCCCUUCUCUUCGACGCAUUUCUGUCACUUUUCUUUUGCUGUUAUGAAGGAGCUAGGAUAUAAGGCUGACUUAGAGUACUAUGUACGAGGAAAGACUAAGCGUCUCAGGGAAGCAGAUAUAAGUAUAGAAAGAGGAUGACCUAGUUGCUACUCUGUGCCUCCCGAAAUAUUAGGAUAAACCCACGCGCGUAAUACAAUCCCAAUGCUAAGCUAACCAAAUUUAGCAUGUGACUUAGCAGACGCCCUCGAGACACUUACACGUACGAUGACUCAGUCCGAGGAGAAGAUCCGACGGACAGGAAUCAGGUGCACGGUAACGAAGAUCAUUCCAACAACCUCCAUCGGCGAAGCGACCUUUACCUUAACUUCGAGUCACGCGUACUGCGGAAUUAGUAUUUCUUCAAUGUUUAUAUGCGAUUUGUUUCUUCACGUGGUUAAGAUGCGUGUAUUUAUAGAGGUGAAUCUUACGGAGUUUGUCCUUGAAAAGAUGUUCGUUAAAAAAGAAAAAAGGAAAAAAACAAAAAAAAAAAAAAAGAGAAAGAGAACAAAAAUUGGCACCGUUGUCCAGCAUAGAUCCUCCCACUGUUUGAUACUUUAAUCAUCGAUAAGGAUCUGCUUUUCCGGGAUCGCAUGUAGGAUAUACGAAAGAUCAAACGAAAUCAGCAUUUAAAAUCGUUUGCCAGCGUCGAAGAGAUUUUACGAUUUAUAGUACGAGAUCAAUAUUUCACAUUCUCUUUUGUAACAACCUUGUUUAGAGAUUAUUUAAUCGGCGCGAUGUUUCACGUACGACACGUAAUCUCAUUGGAAUUCCUGUUGUGUCUGUAAAUAUAAGAACGUUUCGACUAUACUAUCUCUUUACUCGGGUCGAUCUCUUCUUAAAAUAGGUCAACUAUAACGAGAUUUUAGGGGUCAGUUGGUGGAUAUUGGUUAAUGAGAGACAUAAUAUGAAUCUAAGAAAAUGAGGUGCGUAAAGUAAGAGAACGUAAAUACGUCGAUAAAUCACUUAGGUCAAACUGAAAUGCAUUCUAAACGAGUUACUCUCUAGAAGAGUCAGAAUUUAGAAAUUCGAAGAUGUGUUAGAUACGAACGAUGCACAUGUAUGAAUUGAUAUAAUUCAAAUAAUACGAUUCAAAAAUAUCUUUCAUAACUCGGAUCCAAAGUUAGCUUAAGGUAUACUCCACCUAGGCACAUAUAUAUUUUUAAAUCGUCGUUUGUGGUACAAAAGUAACUUACUUAGUUGCUGGGUACAAGUUCAAGCAACGUACCACAAAUAACGCGCCGUGCCUUGAUAGUCUUCUACGUUAAUGAGAAACAUAGUCCGACUAUCGAUCCGAUAAAUUUUAUGGAAUGUCACUCGAUCGUGACAUGUAAUUCGAUAACAGAAAUACAAGCAAGAAUUAGGCAAGAAGCCCAGAUUUUCCGUGCAUCCGUAGCUGAGCGAUGACGAAUAUUUUUCAAGGUAAAUGCUGAAAUAUCCCUCUUACUCGAUGUACCGAAUUUAAUAUUUCUCCGAGCAUUGCCAAUUCUGCGUUAAGAAAGACGAACUUAUGUUACAGUAAUCCGUUACAUCUAUAAUCCUUGAUACGAUGAUUGCCAGAUAGUUUAUCUAUUAAAGUGUAUGCAUGCGUAAGGGAUAUCGCGUUAAGCCGAUCGAUGCGUCGUCGUUAGAAAUAUAGAAAUUACGUAGGACGGAGCUUAAUGUGAUAUAACUAUUUUUAAGAUUUUCAAUAGAUAUAUGUAGUAGAUAAAUGACAAUUUUUUUUUUUCAAGCUCUAUAGAACUUUUAAAAAAUAUAGAAAUACGUAUGACAAUUAGUAUAUUUUAACGUUCAUAUGCUUAUUUUGUGUGAGAAUAUAUUUUAGUUGGUGAAGGUAACGGUCAAUAGCUUUGAGGAUAACUCUUUGCCAACUGAAAGCGUAGUUAAAACAUACAUAGUUGUAGUGAUGUAUUUACUCUAAAGCAUAUCAAGAGUUCAGUCAGUGUCAACAAAGUCGGAGUACUUUUGUAACUCUACAUGUGUAUAUAUAUAUAUAUAUAUAUAUAUAUAUAUAUAUAUAUGUAUCGAAAAGAGCAUAAAUUUAUCUUUACUUUGAGACGGAUCUUCGUACAUGCCAACAGAUUAAUUCCACGUUGUAUUAAUUCGUUCGAGUGAUAAGAAACUCUAAUAACAUGACGUAUGUAUUUCGUGUUUCUCUAUUCCUGUUAAUCAGACUCCUGUUAAGUAUCCAGUCUCAAUUGAAAAUUACAUUCACGUGUUGAAUAAUAACAAUUAUCUGAAUUC